AGUCUGCACCCACUGAAGCAACUGUAGGCUUCUGCAGCAAGGGGAAGACUACAAUGUAGUCUUAUUUCUCCAGAAGUUAGGCCUUUUAAGAAUUCAGGCAAAACUAAUCCUAUCUUCCUCCAUUAUCCAGCACAUAAUGGCUCCCAAGGACUGAGGAUCUUCAGCAACCUAGAAGGCUGGAGAAGCAGGAACAGACGUGUCCAGUGACUUCCACAGACCGAUGCUCCUGUGGCUCAUCUACCUCAAGCUGGGUGGCCCCUCUCUGCUGAGGACUGUUAGUGUAUGAAUUCCCCAAUUACUCAGUAAUGUGGCUCAGAUCAAGUAAGUCAAAAUUAUUUUUCUCUAUUAUGCAAAGAUAUGCUUUUCUACAAAGAAAGUGCUUGGGAAGGACAAAUAUGCUUAAAGUACUCUUCACAUAUGAAGAGAGGAAAGAGAUCAACAGAAGACCUGAAUCUCAGGAUUCAUUGUGCCAACCUCCUGGAGGAUGCCUCAGUGGAGGCAAGGCCAAUGACCUGGAUGGGCCUUCUAAGAAAAAGGGAGGCAUUGUUGACCUCAUUGAAGAACUUGCCUAGUCUUGUCACUCUGGUUGAUGUCACCAGUAUCAAGGACUUCCAGAUGGCUGAAUGGGACAGAAAUAAUGAAAACACUAUACUCUCUUUACCCCUUCCAUUAUCAUGUCUUACCCUCAGCUGCUCGGACAAAUUAUGCCCUGAGCUUCUCAGUAAAGGAUGUCGAGAGUUACACUACUGCUGUUGGAGGAAAUGAGGACACGGACACACAUAGAGGAAAGACCACGUGAGGACACAGGGAGAUGAUGACCAUCGACAAGCCAAGGAAACAGCCUCAGAAUAAACCAGCCUUGCCGACAGGUUGACCUCAGAGUUCCAGACUCCAGAACUGUGGGAAAACAAACGUACUCUGUCUUGACAGCCCUAGCAAAUUAAUAGUGUGCUUUAAGUGCAAUUAACAAAAACGUAUAGGUUAUGUCAAAUACAAUAGUUGUUGGAACCGGUCUCCACAGUCUAAAGAAACAAAACCAACACUCAGCAAACCAUCCAGUUGUGCUGUCAUCAGAGGAAAUGGGGAUGGCAGUGAGCAGAUCUGGGAGGGCAUCCAACGGUUACCAGACGCAAGCCAAGGAAGAUAGUGGGUUCAGGAUACCUUUUGAAGUGGUGCUGUUAAGAAUCUCCCUCAAAAGCUAGUCUGCUCCCAGGUGUUGCUGGCCAUGUGAGAGGGCAGGAUGUAAACUGAAACCAUAAAUGAGUUACAAGGAUCAUUUUCUCUGAACAGCAUUACAUCAAAGAUCAGAUGGUGCCAAAAGAUGAUGCACUCAGCUCCCUCUCUCUAGAGACCUAGUCUUAGCGAUCCGCCUAACCCUGCGAGUGCUGUCUGGAGAUGGAGCACACCAUGGAGGAAAUGCCCUGCAACCAGAAGACAGAUAAAAAGACAGAACACUGGGCCAUUCAGAUAACAUACGUCACCUGUGCGCACUCUGGAAAGCAGAGCAAGUGUUAGUUGGUGCCCAAGUUGGCAAACAUUCUUGUUUGGGAACUAAAUGAAACAUGCAGCCACCUAAAUGCCACACACACACAGAAGCUGGCUGCGGUAACAAUGGGUAAUUACAGAGAAAGCAUUGCAAACACCUGACUAUUGCACUCAGCCAUAAGUGCCGUCCUGCUAGAAAGGAAACCAGGACCUUUUAGGGCACUGCUGUAUUACAGCACCUGCUGACACUCUCAGCUCUUCUGUGGCCCAACAAGUUCUCAACCUGUAGAAACAGGGGUAGAGGAGACAACGGGCUCUCAAGAAGAUGAUGAGAGCUCACACUGGCUAAGCCCACUGGCAUGAGCUUUGCUUUGGGUGCGUGUGUCCACUAUGGGCACGGAAAACGUCCACGUUUUAUUCCCAUGCAGCGUGUUACUACCUGUUACAGGCAGGCGAGAGAUUUAGAAUUCUUUACUUUGUGAGUUGGGGUGUCUGAGACAAGCUGUGUAGACUUUCAUAGUAGAAUUCUUUAAAUUCACUCUGCUCGUCAUGAAGCCAUCUUGAGAGGCCGCUGAUGAAUAUGUGGGAACCUGACAGCUGUGGAAUUUUAUUUCUAGAUUUCAAGGAGGCAGAGAAAGGAAAAGGAAAUCUCCUCGCUGGCAACAAAACGAAAGUGUUUACAUGUGAAAUUAAUCGUCAGCGCAAAGAGCUUUCCCAGUCACUCUGUUCCACAAUAUAAUAUGCUGCUUGUUUAGCUGCUGAGUCUUUAAAAUUUUGAUUUCUAAGAAUAAUAGCAAAGACUUUUGAGAGGAGCCACGAAUCAAGUCGGGAGCAAGCCACAAAAGGUUAACACAAUGAUCCAACUUUGCUUUGCCACCACUAUCUGAGACUGUUGUGUGAUUUUUCAGGCUUUGAUGGUGCCUGGUUUAAGGCAGGCUGCAGCGACAGCUGGCUAAUUUGAGCGUGGUGAACACCGAGGUCAGCUGCAAACGUGUGUUGCGCAAACUCCUCCUCUCACCCCUGCCUCAUUCCUUUCCAACAGGAACAUGCUCAGCACAAAGCAAUCCACCUAAAGACUCCAUAAAUCCAAAAAAGGGAGUUACUGAUCGAGGAAUUCUCAGAUUUCUGCCAAGGCACCCUCCCCUGGGCUGGAGGUCAGCCUGGUACAGUAAUCCGAGCCAAACUGUGGACUGGACUCAAGGAAUUAAGUUGAAUGCUUCAAAUCUUGACUUUUAAUGGACGAUUUUUCUUUUCGGUGAUGAAGACAAAACAAAGUACAAACAGCUGAUAACAGCCCAAAGUAAACCAGAAGAAUAAGUACGAGAACAAAGCUUGGACACAAAUCUCAUAAGGGAUAUCUAAGGAGAGAUUUUUCCAAACAAAGGGAAAAAAUAAAGCAGCUUUUUAAAGCUCUGGUUUGAGAUUAAGCAGUUUGUGAAUGAACAAUAAGAAAGUAAAGGCCACAAAACAAGAUAUUUGCUCUUUUCAGCAGAAAAAAAAAAAAUACUGGCCUUUGUUAACUAGCAGCAAAACAAAAAAAAAAAAAGGGGGCCCCUCAGGCAUUUAAGCACAGAAUAAGUUUUUCCUUGACCCCAUGACCUCAACAAAUAUGUUAAUAAAAUCUUUUACCUCCCUGGA